AAGAAUACAACUAUCUACGCCACGGUCGCUCUAGAAAUCGUGUGAAAAUAGCGAUCAUUGCAAUCAGUAAGGCCCAAGGACCUACCCGUAGUACCUACUGUCCUGAUUACUUCUUUUGUUUUGUUCGAUUUGAAACAAAAUUCAAUCAUAUUUCAUUCACUAUUGAUUUCAAAUUUUAAUUGCCAGAUUGCUAAGUUGAAUGGGCCUUACUGUCAAUGUCCGGGCCUUCUUUCUAGUCUUUAUUACUCUCUUAUUAUUAAUAAUCUCAAUGCCAAGUUGACAUCGUUAAUAAUUGUUGAGAACCAUUGUUCUAUCAAUUGUUCUAAAAAUUUAUAUAUAAUUUGUGCAGUUUACUAGAGUUCUAACUCUGCCUCGGCUUCGGAAGCAACAGAGUAGGUACAGCAACGCAACGCCACCAUAAACGUAAAUUUCCUAUGAACAUAGGACAAUCAUAGUGGACCUGUCACACUCUGCCGCUGCCAAGUCGAAGUUAGCGUAGACGAAUUUUAAUUACUUAUCAUUUAAAAUAAGUACCUAUAGACAGCUUUUCAGCACAAGUUGUAGGUAAUAUAGACUAACUCGAAUGAGAUAUUUUGCCAUAAAAAAAAGGUUAUCAUGAUGUUUUCUCAAGUCACCUUUUUUGUACUGACCACCUGUAGGCCUAAUGUUCUUGCAAUAAGGUCUACAAAUGGUUAGAGGGCCUACCGCGAAAAAAGGAAAUAAACUUUUCUUUAUCUGCCUCUAUCGCUCUUGCAUAUUCGAGUGAUAGAGAGGUAGAUACAGAAAUUUCGAUUUUUGUAGGGCCUCAGGUAAUGGGACAUUUUAUCUUUGACCUACGUACCUACUUAUUUCAAAUGUAAACCUCAUUUUCGCGGUACAAAGUGCAUUUUUCUUUAAAUGGAUGUUGCAUGUAAAUAGGUAUAUCGUCCAAUGAAGAAUGUCAAACAUACGUACCAUGUAGUAUUUGAGUUAUAUGUUAACAAAAUUAGCAUUGUUACCUACAGUCACGUGAAGGUGUUACUAGCUUGUAGCCGAUUAUCUUGUGUGCAGCUACGCUGUGAGUCCGAAUUCGUAAAAAACAAGUUUCUGACAAUUUUUUGUGACACUUAUUGCUGUUUAUUUACAACUUCUCAUUUGCGAGGCUAUCAAUUAUUUGCCAAGACGUUUUUAAUGAACCUAAACUCGGUGUGUUUGUGUUUUUUUGCUUCCUCCCGACUGUAUCAUGAUCGGCGCCAUGUUAUUGCAUUGUACACAUAUAGCAGCAUACACAUAUAGUAUAUAUAGGGUAUACAUAGGUCACUAGAUAGGUUUUGCGAUAGACAAAUAUGAAACAAAGACGUGGCCUAUCACGUAUGUUAAAAACUAUAAGUAUUUCCAAUGUUUGGACGGAAAACAUUUAAAUUUUAUUUUAUUUAGGUACUUAUUAAAAAAAUAGAUUUAAACUUUGAAAACGUCGGCGUGGGCUAAGAACGAUUUACGAUUAUUUUAUACAACAUUUUCAUUUCAUACAAAGUUUAUAUUUUUUUUGAAGUAUUUUAAAAAUAAAGUAAAUGUUUUCCGGCCAAUUAUUGUCUAUGCAUAUAUAGUUUAAAAAAAUAUAUGUGAUAGGCCACCUCUUUGUUUCACAUUUGUCUAUUGCUAAACUUAUCUCGUGACCUAUGUAUAGUCGCCAUCAGAUAUAUUUCGGAGCGGCCAAGGUGUUCGCAAAUAUCUGAACACGCCUCUAUUGUCAUGGCACUAGAGUGCGUGUUCAGAUAUUUUUGGUCACCUUGGCCACUCCGAAAUAUCUGAUGGCGACUGUACAAACAAAUAUAUGCAUUGAAGCUAAAUAAAAAAUUGCGUUCCAAGAUUCUAAAGCUUAUACGUCUCUUAUCUUUCGUAAGCACCUACUUAUUGAAAAUAAUUUGACACAAACAACUUCAUUAAAAAAAUAAUUUACACCAAUUUACAAUAUUUCAGAGAACCUGUCAAACUAAGUAAACAUGGUAAUUUAAAAGCAAUAAAUGCAAGCACCGCUUAUAAGUGAAGUAGCAAUUGUCCGUAAUUUGGUACAUCAGGACGUGAUGGUAUGCCGCGCCCAGACAUUUCCAUGACAAUAGCGGGACGUUACCGAAUUAACAUAACAGAUUGCUUUAUAGGUCAGCGUCUGCGGUUGUUGUCGUCGCAUUUUGAGCGAGCGUUCAUCAAACAUGCUGGAAAUAUUGGGGAACCUUGGAAAUCUAUGAGACGCGGACAUGGCCCAAGUGUUAUUACGAUCUCGAUCCGCCGCAUAGCUGUGGCACUGAAAAUAUCAAUAUAUACAGCCCAGGGGCGCAGGACCCUGACCAGACUAAAGCCACAACGAUAUUACUUAUACUGCCAAAGCAGGGCUUGUUACAUCUACCUUUUUGUCGGACACUUUUUGCCAUCUUUCUGCUGAGAGAGAGGGCAAUAACGAAACGGUGUAGAUAAUAAUAAACUACCUAUAAUAGCCCCUUUAAUGCACUCUCUGAUUACGCAUUGUAUUUCAGAACUUGAGCUCUCUGUACACUGGCCUUUUAUACUAAAACUACUUACGCGAGCUAGCCCGACAUUCGUAACACACGGUCAAGUGACACGAAGCCUAAUCAUAAACAAUUAGUCAGCUAGACCGUCGUAAAUCAUUUACCCGCUUGUUGACGAGCGGCCGAUUAUUUUCAACAUUUCGGAUUGUUUCAUCACAUCAUUCAAUGGCGCCAUUGUCUUAGAGUUGAUUAUAGUUGUGUGUUUACGUUUCCUGUUUUUGCACGGUCGUUCGUGGACAUGACAUAUGAGUGUUUACUACAGACAUGCUCUAAGGAGUAAACUAAAGAUUUUGUAGAAAAAGAAUAUAAAUAAAAUGAUGCUAAUCAUUGACGUAGCUGUGGGCGAAGCGGCCCCUCGCCCACAUCAGCCUCACACUUAACAGGGCCCCGCGGGAACCAACCCUUUUUAGGGUUCCGUAGCCAAAUGGCAUAAAACGGAACCCUUAUAGUUUCGCCAUGUCCGUCUGUCUGUCUGUCUGUCUGUCUGUCUGUCCGAGGCUUUGCUCCGUGGUCGUUAGUGCUAGAAAGCUGAAAUUUGGCAUGGAUAUAUAAAUCAAUAAAGCCGACAACGUCGUACAAUAAAAUUUAAAAAUUUAAUUUUUUUAGGGUACCUCCCCUACACGUAAAGAGGGGGUGAAUUUUUUUUUUCGCUUCAACCCUAGAGUGUGGGGUAUCGUUGGAAAGGUCUUUCAAAACUAAUAGGGGUUUUCAAGAAACAUUUUUUGAUAAAGUGAAUAUAUUCGGAGAUAAUCGCUCCAAAAGAAAAAAAAAAUGUGUCCCCCCCCUCUAACUUUUGAACCAUAGGUCCAAAAAAUAUGAAAAAAAAAUCGUGGAAGUAGAGCUUAAGAAAGACAUUAAAUGAAAACUAUUACACCAAUUCUCCAUACACUCCCCUCCCUGUUUAUACUCGAGGUGGCCAAGUUCGUACGAGCGUUUUUGAUUUGUCUUCAUUCCUCAAAAAACAGUGGAACCGCAAAAGAUUUCGGGACAUGCGUCAGCAUGACUUGAAACAGCCUGAAAAGCCCACUCAUCAACGUGUACAGUCAGCGUCAAAUACUUUGUAGCAGUUAAAGUGGCCAAAUAGUUCGGUACACCAUACUAAAUAUAUGGUGUACCGAACUAUUUGGCUACUUUGGUUGCUACAAAGUAUUUGACGCUGACUGUACCAUCAGUCGUAAAAGUGCCUGGCGACUUUACAAUUAAUCAUCAAUCAAAAUUUCUCGAUACAAUUUCGCAGCUUACCAUACUAUUAACUUUCGGGAACAGAAAAGACAAAUUAACUUAAAUAUGAGCUUUUAAUUAGAUUAGACAUGCCUAUAGUUUUGAAGUAUUUUUGUUUAAGUGAAAUAAAUUAAUUUGUUACAAA